UUAAAAAUGCUAUAAGGUAGCAUUAUGUCGCUGUUGUGAAUCCACCUAUGCGGAUGGGCGUACAGCUGAGCUAUCUCUGAUGAGAUCGUAAACGAGACCGCGGACUCUUUGGCUGGAGAGUUCACUGGGAGGCACCCAGCACAACAGCAACCAAUUACAAACCCUGCUUCGGCAGGGUUUUUUAUU
rnacentral:sRNA from 1 species